rnacentral:rRNA from 1 species
GAGGUGAAAUCCUGCAGCUCAACUGUAGAAUUGCCUUUGAAACUGGUUGUCUUGAGUCAUUAUGAAGUGGUUAGAAUGUGUAGUGUAGCGGUGAAAUGCAUAGAUAUUACACAGAAUACCAAUUGCGAAGGCAGAUCACUAAUAAUGUACUGACACUGAUGGACGAAAGCGUGGGUAGCGAACAGGAUUAGAUACCCUGGUAGUCCACGCCGUAAACGAUGGUUACUAGCUGUUCGGACUUCGGUCUGAGUGGCUAAGCGAAAGUGAUAAGUAACCCACCUGGGGAGUACGUUCGCAAGAAUGAAACUCAAAGGAAUUGACGGGGGCCCGCACAAGCGGUGGAGCAUGUGGUUUAAUUCGAUGAUACGCGAGGAACCUUACCAGGGCUUAAAUGUAGAGUGACAGGUCUAGAAAUAGAUUUUUCUUCGGACUCUUUACAAGGUGCUGCAUGGUUGUCGUCAGCUCGUGCCGUGAGGUGUCAGGUUAAGUCCUAUAACGAGCGCAACCCCUGUUGUUAGUUGCCAGCAGUAAUGUCGGGAACUCUAGCAAGACUGCCAGUGCAAACUGUGA